GACGAACGCUGGCGGCGUGCCUAACACAUGCAAGUUGAGCGACGAACCAGGGCUUGCCCUGGGGCAAAGCAGCGAACGGGUGAGUAACACGUGGGUAACCUACCCCGAUAACCGGGACAACCCGAGGAAACUCGGGCUAAUACCGGAUGUGCUCACUGAACUUCGGUUCAGUGCGUAAAGGAAGCUUCGGCCUCCGUAUCGGGAGGGGCCCGCGGCCCAUUAGCUAGUUGGUGAGGUAACGGCUCACCAAGGCCGCGAUGGGUAGCUGGUCUGAGAGGACGAUCAGCCACACUGGGACUGAGACACGGCCCAGACUCCUACGGGAGGCAGCAGUGGGGAAUCUUGCGCAAUGCGCGAAAGCGUGACGCAGCAACGCCGCGUGGGGGAAGAAGGCCUUCGGGUUGUAAACCCCUUUCAGGAGGGACGAUGGUUCGGCGGUGAAUAGCCGUCCGGACUGACGGUACCUCCACAAGAAGCCCCGGCUAACUACGUGCCAGCCGCCGCUGUAA
rnacentral:rRNA from 1 species